rnacentral:rRNA from 1 species
AGAGUUUGAUCAUGGCUCAGAAUCAACGCUGGCGGCGUGCCUAACACAUGCAAGUCGAGCGAGAGGAGGUAGCAAUACCUUAGUAAAGCGGCGCACGGGUGAGUAACACGUGGAUAACCUGCCUCGAAGUGGGGAAUAACCCCGGGAAACCGGAGCUAAUACCGCAUAUUCUAACGCGAUCUGUGGAUUGCGUUAGCAAAGGAGCAAUUCGCUUUGAGAGGGGUCCGCGGCUGAUUAGCUAGUUGGUGAGGUAAUGGCUCACCAAGGCCACGAUCAGUAGCCGGUCUGAGAGGACGGUCGGCCACACUGGAACUGAGACACGGUCCAGACUCCUACGGGAGGCAGCAGUGGGGAAUUUUUCGCAAUGGGGGCAACCCUGACGAAGCAACGCCGCGUGGGUGAUGAAGUAUUUCGGUACGUAAAACCCUUUCGACGGGGACGAAACCGCAAGGUUGACGGUACCCGUAGAAGAAGCCCCGGCUAACUCCGUGCCAGCAGCCGCGGUAAUACGGGGGGGGCAAGCGUUGUUCGGAAUUACUGGGCGUAAAGGGCGCGUAGGCGGUUCGCUAAGUUGGAUGUGAAAACUCUGGGCUUAACCCAGAGCCUGCAUCCAAAACUGGCGAACUUGAGUACUGGAGGGGAAAGCGGAAUUCCUGGUGUAGCGGUGAAAUGCGUAGAUAUCAGGAGGAACACCGGUGGCGAAGGCGGCUUUCUGGACAGUAACUGACGCUGAGGCGCGAAAGCUAGGGGAGCAAACAGGAUUAGAUACCCUAGUAGUCC